UACGAAGGGGGCUAGCGUUGUUCGGAAUUACUGGGCGUAAAGCGUGCGCAGGCGGUUUCGUAAGCUGGAGGUGAAAUCCCCGGGCUUAACCUGGGAAUGGCCUUCAGGACUGCGAGGCUAGAGUGCGGCAGAGGGAGGUGGAAUUCCACGUGUAGCAGUGAAAUGCGUAGAGAUGUGGAGGAACACCGAUGGCGAAGGCAAUCCCCUGGGCCUGCACUGGACGCUCGAUGCCACGAAAGCGUGGGGAGCAAACAGG
rnacentral:rRNA from 1 species